rnacentral:misc_RNA from 1 species
UGAUCUGAGGAGGUUAUAGGGA